rnacentral:rRNA from 1 species
AUUGAACGCUAGCGGGAUGCCUUACACAUGCAAGUCGAACGGAGUGGCGAACGGGUGAGGAAUGUAUCGGAACGUGCCCAGUAGCGGGGGAUAAAUACGCGAAAGCGUAGCUAAUAACGCAUACUAUUGGAGCGGCCGAUAUAGGAUUAGCUAGUUGGGGGGGUAACGGUUCACCAAGGCGACGAUCCGUAGCUGGUUUGAGAGGACGGCCAGCCACACUGGGACUGAGACACGGCCCAGACUCCUGCGGGAGGAAGCAUUGGGGAAUUUUGGACAAUGGUGUAAACCCUGAUCCAGCCAUCCCGCGUGUGCGAUGAAGGCCUUCGGGUUGUAAAGCACUUUUGGCAGGAAAGCGGUACCUGCAGAAUAAGCACCGGCUAACUACGUGCCAGCAGCCGCGGUAAUUC